ACACUCUGGAGAAUCCCGUUUGAUCGGGUGCCGAAGGUGCAAGGCUCGCUUCGAGCCGAAACUCUCAGGCAAAAGGACAGGGAAG
rnacentral:ncRNA from 1 species